UACAGCAGUGAUGACUUGAAUACCGUCCCAGUCUGAUAACUGUGAUGAAAGGUAUUUUCGGAGUUGUG